rnacentral:rRNA from 1 species
CGUGGGUAACCUGCCCAAGAGACUGGGAUAACACCUGGAAACAGAUGCUAAUACCGGAUAACAACACUAGACGCAUGUCUAGAGUUUAAAAGAUGGUUCUGCUAUCACUCUUGGAUGGACCUGCGGUGCAUUAGCUAGUUGGUAAGGUAACGGCUUACCAAGGCAAUGACGCAUAGCCGAGUUGAGAGACUGAUCGGCCACAUUGGGACUGAGACACGGUCCAAACUCCUACGGGAGGCAGCAGCG